AAUAUACUGAACCCCGUGAUUACAGAAGCUCUCUGUUAACUACUGCCCUUGUGGACUGAGGCGUUUCAAAGUUGGUGCUCACUCUGCGGCGCUUUCUGCUCUCUCUUCCUCCCCCUGCGUGUCAGUAGCUUGUGGAAAGCCGACCAGGAGAAAUGUUGAAAGAGAAUAUUUUAAACGUGCAACCGAUUAUUGACCAGAAAUGGAACCAAAGCGAAUGAACAAAUUCUUCAGAAAAUAGGAAUACCUUAAGAAAGCAUCGGUAGUCUUUGGAUCACUUGCUCUGGGAGAAGCCCGCCCUUGCGCCGUGAAGGCGUUCAUUCAGGCAGCCCUGUGAGACAUCCAUGAGGAAAGAAGAUUCGCAUACCUGUGCCUCUGAAUCUUCCC